GACGAACGCUGGCGGCGUGCCUGACACAUGCAAGUCGGACGGUUCUUGCACCUUCAAGCUUGCUUGCUGGUGCAAGGAUAGUGGCGGACGGGUGAGUAACGCGUGAACAUCUACCCAUUGGAGGGGGACAACCCGUCGAAAGGCGGGCUAAUACCGCGUAAGCCGCGAGGUGAGAGGCUGCCUAUUGGGUGGCCGCCGAUGGAUGGGUUCGCGUCCUAUCAGCUGGUUGGUGGGGUAACGGCCUACCAAGGCGAAGACGGGUAGCCGGUCUGAGAGGAUGGCCGGCCACACUGGAACUGAGACACGGUCCAGACUCCUACGGGAGGCAGCAGUGGGGAAUAUUGGACAAUGGGCGAAAGCCUGAUCCAGCAAUGCCGCGUGAGUGAUGAAGGCCUUAGGGUUGUAAAGCUCUUUUACCAGGGAUGAUAAUGACAGUACCUGGAGAAUAAGCUCCGGCUAACUCCGUGCCAGCAGCCGCGGUAAAACGUCUA
rnacentral:rRNA from 1 species